UUUGUUCUGUUUUGUUUUACUGCUAGGAGCACAAUAAAGUAGAGAACAUGCACUUCAACUUUGAUGCCUUAAGACAGAACUUUGUUAGCAUUAGAGAAUUUAAUGGUGCAUAGUUGUUUGGGUAACAUAUUCAUUUUCAAUUUCUUAUGAUAAUUAUAGAUAGGGUUGAGUUAGGUAAUGAAUCUGGCUUUCUUCAUAUUCUUCUACUUGUGCUGCAGAACAUAUCUGCUCAGCUUCAGUUUCCAAGCCCAAUGACAAUGACCUUCAGCACCUCACAUGAAAAGAAAGUGAGACUGCUUCACUUGAAACUGUUGAAUUAGUCAACGAAGAUGUAAACCAUUUUGGAUAUAGACACAAUGGGAGUUGAUCUGUUUCCCACUUUCUGAAUGUUGACUUUGAUCCUCUCUACCACGAUAUUAGAUGACUGUGGGACAACCUAUGGAAGCGUAUGAAGACUGCAUUUCUAAUUUAAUGGAGGCCCAAACACGCAAGCGCACCUCUUCUUUAAAGAGAAUCUUCCCCUUGAAAACUUUUCAAAGGAGGUGUUCAUGUUUUGAAAGUGUUCAGAUGGUUUCCAGGUGAGGAAUUUCAUCUAACCACAACUUGUAAAUUCUAUUGUAAUGGGGCUUUGGGACUGAAAUAGCAGAUUGUUGUUGGUAAUUGUAUAUGAUGCCUUAGAUUUUAAAAUACAGAAAUCCUGUUUUAGGCAUUCACCUUUGUUAGUUCCCAGAUGGUUUGCUUGACCUCAAAGGGAUUUAUAGCAGCAUCGUGGUUAUUUUCAUUGUCCAAAUCUUUUCCUGACUGUUUCUCCAACAUGAGAGCAGCUUGGGUUCAUUGCACAGUGACAAUAACUCUUAGAUAUUCAUAUUUUGUACCAAGCUUUUAUCUUGCCUGUCCACCUGCAGACAUGAACUGACAAUUUCUCUAUAGUGGCCACCUCUUACAAAGUAUGUAUACAGUUAUUUUCUUUUAUAUGCAUACAUGAA